rnacentral:lncRNA from 1 species
GACCUCAACUACAUGUGUGCUGUCUCAAUCUGCUCAAGGCUUUAUCCCCAGGUCUCACUUCCACGGGGGAUCCUUAUGGGGUGCAAAGAAAUCAUAAUUCAACACCAACAAGAUGGCUAGCUCCAAGACUGUGCAAAGAGCAGAACUGAUUCAGGCUGUGCCUGUCCUGUUAUUAAUGAUUUAAGGACUCAGAGCAACUAAUGCAUUAUGCCCACGUGUGAGGAAGAGAAAGGCAUCUUGGGAUGCAGGGCAAAGAGAGAACAUUCAUAACGCUAAUUGGGAACGAGCCCCCAGGGGAUCUUCACCGCCCAUAAGCAAGAAUGAAGUAUGAACCCUCCCACCUUUGACUCCAGAAUCAAACUAUAAAUCAAACAGCAGGAUCAUUUGGUGAAGUCUCAUUUUACAGAUGAGGAAACUGAGGUACAGGGAGUAACUUGCCAAAGUCGUCACAGCUGGUAAGUGGCAGAAGCUCAAUCAGACCCCAGCAGCUAACUCCAGACCCCUUGUACUCUCUCAAUCACUGUUGUUUCUUGCUUCGUGUUUGGCUGAUUUUAAAUUUUAACUUUUUUAUAAAGU